rnacentral:lncRNA from 1 species
AUGUGACCUCUCAGUUGGAGCAAGUUGAAACUGAAGAUCAUUAAAUAAUGGAGAAUGAACUUGAUGAAAAAGAAUCACCAGGUUUGUGGAGGGAAAGCAAUGUAUCUAAUACUUCCAGUGCUGUGUGCACAUAGUCAAGAUUUAAAAAUUGACUGCUGUGGAGUUUAACAGAGAAGAAAUAAUUUUUUACAGUCUUGCGGAAGAGACAGAGACCUGAGUGAAAAUUCUGUGGAGAAUCUUCAAGAGAAAGGACUAAGGGAUCUGUUACAUGAAGAGCUUUCCUGCUGGCUAAUUUUGGGAGAGAGAGCCAAUGCAAUAACUGGGAGUCACGAUUCUAUUGGGACUCUUCAAGGGGAAGUAUGCAAGAGCCCUGAACUAGAUCUUUCCCCAUGUCGAAAGUGGGGAGAAGCUUCUUCUCAUAUUGCCAGAAACAAGAGCCAUAUGGUGACUCUUCAAAGUAAUGGUUUCAAAAACAUAGAAAGUGAAGAAUAGUUGUCUUUGAAAGUUCCAGGCCACGUGG